rnacentral:misc_RNA from 1 species
UCCGGGUUAGUCCCGGCAGUCCGAGCAGAUCAUGCAACUGCCCGCGGGGGUUGCGCUCGUUGCGGGACUUAACCCAACACCUCACGGCACGAGCUGACGACAGCCAUGCAGCACCUGUGCACCCCGCCCUUGCGGGCACCUCGCGUUUCCGCGAGCUUUGAGUGCAUGUCAAGCCCUGGUAAGGUUCUGCGCGUUGCGUCGAAUUAAACCACAUGCUCCGCUGCUUGUGCGGGCCCCCGUCAAUUUCUUUGAGUUUUAACCUUGCGGCCGUACUCCCCAGGCGGAUGACUUAACGCGUUAGCUGUGCCAUCGAAACUCCAUGAGCCCCGACAGCUAGUCAUCAUCGUUUACGGCGUGGACUAC